UACGUAGGGGGCUAGCGUUAUUCGGAAUUACUGGGCGUAAAGCGCACGUAGGCGGCUUUGUAAGUCAGAGGUGAAAGCCUGGAGCUCAACUCCAGAACUGCCUUUGAGACUGCAUCGCUUGAAUCCAGGAGAGGUGAGUGGAAUUCCGAGUGUAGAGGUGAAAUUCGUAGAUAUUCGGAAGAACACCAGUGGCGAAGGCGGCUCACUGGACUGGUAUUGACGCUGAGGUGCGAAAGCGUGGGGAGCAAACAGG
rnacentral:rRNA from 1 species